UUAUGGCUCAGGAUGAACGCUGGCGGCGUGCUAACACAUGCAAGUCGAACGAAGCAGCUUCUGCUGCAAGAAAGCUGACUUAGUGGCGGACGGGUGAGUAACGCGUGGGUAACCUGCCUCAUACAGGGGGAUAACAGUUGGAAACGACUGCUAAGACCGCAUAACCCGCUAGUGUCGCGUGACACGGACGGAAAAUAUUUAUAGGUAUGAGAUGGGCCCGCGUCUGAUUAGCUAGUUGGUAAGGUAACGGCUUACCAAGGCGACGAUCAGUAGCCGACUUGAGAGAGUGAUCGGCCACAUUGGGACUGAGACACGGCCCAAACUCCUACGGGAGGCAGCAGUGGGGAAUAUUGGACAAUGGGGGAAACCCUGAUCCAGCGACGCCCGCGUGAGUGAAGAAGUAUUUCGGCAUGUAAAGCUCUAUCAGCAGGGAAGAUAAUGACAGUACCUGACUAAGAAGCCCCGGCUAACUACGUGCCAGCAGCCGC
rnacentral:rRNA from 1 species